UACGGAGGGUGCAAGCGUUGUUCGGAAUCAUUGGGCGUAAAGCGCUUGUAGGCGGCUUGGCAAGUCGGUUGUGAAAGCCCGGGGCCCAACCCCGGAAUUGCAUCUGAAACUGCCUCGCUAGAGUCCCGGAGAGGAAGGCAGAAUUCCCGGUGUAGGGGUGAAAUCCGUAGAUAUCGGGAGGAAUACCAGCGGCGAAGGCGGCCUUCUGGACGGUGACUGACGCUGAGACGCGAAAGCGUGGGGAGCAAACAGG
rnacentral:rRNA from 1 species